UGAGUCAUGGGGGGUCUUCACUGCUCAGUUGCUCGCUUUCAGCCGGGAAUGGAUCUUCUCUAGAACCUAAUCAGACAGAGACUCAUCCAAGUUGCCUAAGAACUCCCAAUGACUAAUGGAGACAACCGUAUGAAGUGUUGAUCCACUUGGUCUCCGGCCCGGCUAUCGGUGACGUGGGGACGACACGCCAGAGACUCCCAGAAGCCUCUAGCGGGUGGAUGGCCUGCCACGGUGAUCUCGCAGCAGCUGCAGAGGAAGCAGAGUGCAACAGAUCUUGAGGCUGGGAAGCGGGAAAGACCGAGAAAGGAGAGAGGAGACCAGCUCCCUUCCUUCAUCCAGGAACUUUCCUGCAACCUCCCAAUGGCCGGUCAGAGGUUAGCAGGCCAGAUCUCCGUAAACGCUCUUGGAUCCUUUGUCAGCUGCAGGAAGGCCUGACAAGAUGGGUUGAGAACCUCUGCAAUAGAGUGAAAUAAGCUUCCCAUCAUCUGUUGGCUAUUACGGCAUCUUAAUCGACUUUUUGGACUUCAAGUGCUGAUAACCGUUGGAAAGGAUGAAGGGCACGGAGGCAGGUGCCAUUUCCUGUGAAACACAUUUUUGGGGGAACU